UGGGGAAUCUUAGACAAUGGGGGAAACCCUGAUCUAGCCAUGCCGCGUGAGUGAUGAAGGCCCUAGGGUCGUAAAGCUCUUUCGCCAGGGAAGAUAAUGACGGUACCUGGUAAAGAAGUCCCGGCUAACUCCGUGCCAGCAGCCGCGGUAAUACGGAGGGGACUAGCGUUGUUCGGAAUUACUGGGCGUAAAGCGCGCGUAGGCGGACUAUUAAGUCAGGGGUGAAAUCCCGGGGCUCAACCCCGGAACUGCCUUUGAUACUGGUAGUCUUGAGUUCGAGAGAGGUGAGUGGAACUCCGAGUGUAGAGGUGAAAUUCGUAGAUAUUCGGAAGAACACCAGUGGCGAAGGCGGCCAUCUGGACCGGCACUGACGCUGAGGCGCGAAAGCGUGGGGAGCAAACAGGAUUAGAUACCCCCGUAGUCC
rnacentral:rRNA from 1 species